rnacentral:rRNA from 1 species
CAGCAGCCGCGGGAAUACGUAGGGUGCAAGCGUUGUCCGGAAUUAUUGGGCGUAAAGAGCUCGUAGGCGGCUAGUCGCGUCGGCUGUGAAAACCUGGGGCUCAACCCCGGGCCUGCAGCCGAUACGGGCUAGCUAGAAUUCGGUAGGGGAGACUGGAAUUCCUGGUGUAGCGGUGAAAUGCGCAGAUAUCAGGAGGAACACCGGUGGCGAAGGCGGGUCUCUGGGCCGAUAUUGACGCUGAGGAGCGAAAGCGUGGGGAGCGAACGGGAUUAGAGACCCCCGUAGUCCCUGUCUCUUAUAC